rnacentral:rRNA from 1 species
UAGGGAAUCUUCGGCAAUGGACGAAAGUCUGACCGAGCAACGCCGCGUGAGUGAAGAAGGUUUUCGGAUCGUAAAACUCUGUUGUUAGAGAAGAACAAGGACGUUAGUAACUGAACGUCCCCUGACGGUAUCUAACCAGAAAGCCACGGCUAACUACGUGCCAGCAGCCGCGGUAAUACGUAGGUGGCAAGCGUUGUCCGGAUUUAUUGGGCGUAAAGCGAGCGCAGGCGGUUUCUUAAGUCUGAUGUGAAAGCCCCCGGCUCAACCGGGGAGGGUCAUUGGAAACUUGGAGACUUGAGUGCAGAAGAGGAGAGUGGAAUUCCAUGUGUAGCGGUGAAAUGCGUAGAUAUAUGGAGGAACACCAGUGGAGAAGGCGGCUCUCUGGUCUGUAACUGACGCUGAGGCUCGAAAGCGUGGGGAGCAAACAGG